AUUGAACGCUGGCGGCAGGCCUAACACAUGCAAGUCGAACGAGUGGCGGACGGGUGAGUAAUGUCUAGGAAACUGCCUGAUGGAGGGGGAUAACUACUGGAAACUGUAGCUAAUACCGCAUACCAUAAGAUGGGCCCAGAUGGGAUUAGCUUGGUGGUGGGGUAAAGGCUGACCAAGGCGACGAUCCAUAGCUGGUCUGAGAGGAUGACCAGCCACACUGGAACUGAGACACGGGCCAGACUCCUACGGGAGGCAGCAGUGGGGAAUAUUGGACAAUGGGCGCAAGCCUGAUGCAGCCAUGCCGCGUGUAUGAAGAAGGUCUUCGGGUUGUAAAGUACUUUCAGCGGGGAGGCGUUACCCGCAGAAGAAGCACCGGCUAACUCCGUGCCAGCCGCCGCGGUAAUAC
rnacentral:rRNA from 1 species